rnacentral:rRNA from 1 species
UUAUUAUUUAAGGGCCGCGGUAUUUUGACUGUGCAAAGGUAGCAUAAUCGUUAGUUUUUUAAUUGGAAUCUUGUAUGAAUGGUUUGACAAAAAAAAAUCUGUCUUUAUAAUUAUUUAUUGAAUUUAACUUUUAAGUGAAAAGGCUUAAAUAAAUUAAAAAGACGAUAAGACCCUAUAAAGCUUAAUAUUGGAUUUUAUUUAAUAAAAUUUUAAUAUAAUAUAAAUGUUUGGUAAUUAAUUUUUAUUUUAUUGGGGCGAUAAUGGUAAAAUGAUUAUUAACUGUUAAUUGUUUUUAGACAAUAGUAAAUGAAUAAAAGUUAUAAUAAUUGAUCCUGUAUUARAGAUUAAAAGUUUAAGUUACUUUAGGGAUAACAGCGUUAUUUUUUUUGAGAGUUCUUAUCGAGAAAAAAGUUUGCGACCUCGAUGUUGAAUUAAAAUAUCUAUAUAAUUGUAGCAGUUAUAUAARAGGGUCUGUUCGACCUUUAAAUUUUUACAC